rnacentral:lncRNA from 1 species
UGUUGUUCCAAUAGGGUCGGAAGCGUGUAAAUUAUUGUACUAAAAAAUCACACAAAGUUCAAUUCCCAGGGAAGAGAGGUGGAUCACAAGAAUCUCUUAAAUACCAAGUCUUUCCUUAGUCAGAAUAUUCCUUCUAACGUAAUUUAAUAGCACAAUUAAAUACUACUAUUAUACCCUCAAAUAUUGAAAGAAAAACAGGACAAAAAGAACACAAGAGUUUUAACGAGGUUCGGUAAAUUAUACCUACGUCCUCGGGCUACUAAAACCAGAUGAUAACUUUACUAUCUCCAAAAUAUUACAAACAAAUAGAAUUCCUUAAGAAUUCUCAAAUGGGAGAAGAGAGAAAACUAAGAGAGAAAGAUUGGUUGGGAUGAAUUGAAAUGAGAAAUGAGAAGGCCUAUUUAUAGUUGAGGUUCAAGGACCAAACAAUAAAUAGCCCAUUAUCUAAAGGACCAAAAAAAAAUUAUCCCUUACCACUUUUCCAAAGUUGGUGGUUGUCAUUAUUGAUUGUCUCCCAUUAAUGUUAAUGGCAACCAUUAUUAAUUGUCUUCCAUUAAUGUUAACAAUCUCCACCUUGAAGAUUUGAUUAGGAUAAUCACAUCUUCACACACUUCCUUCAACUCCCCAAAUUCGAUAAAGCUAUCUUUUGUAGUGCCUACAAAUGCGCUCUCGAGCGCCAUACACCUGAAGGUGCUCAAAUUCUCAGGAUGUUAAUCAAGUUCAAACAAUGAUUAAACUUGAUUGUUGUUACCACCUUGGUCAUCAUAUCUGCGGGAUUAUCUGCUGUCGGAAUCUUCUGAAGUAGAAUUUUUCCUUUUUCAAAGACUUCCCGCACAAAGUGAUAUCUUACGUCGAUAUGCUUGGUUCUUGAAUGAUAGACUUGAUUUUUCGCUAAAUGAAUAGCGCUCUGACUGUCACAAUAUAAACUUAUGUGACUUUGAACAACUCCUAAGUCUUUCAACAAUCCAUUAAGCCAAAUAGCCUCCUUAACAGCUUCUGUAACGGCCAUAUAUUCUGCCCCUGUAGUAGACACAGCUACUGUAGACUGUAAGGAAGACUUCCAACUCACUGGGGCUUUCGCAAGAGUAAACAGAUACCCCGUAGUUGAACGACGUUUAUCUAAAUCACCAGCAAAGUCGGAAUCAACAUAUCCAACUACAAACUGACCAAGUGCUUCAUCCUGUUCAAAAAUUAAACCAACAUCUACGAUUUUUCGAAGAUACCGUAGAAUCCAUUUCACAGCUUGCCAAUGUCCUUUUCCAGGAUCAUGCAUAUACCUGCUCACAACUCCAACAACUUGUGAAAUGUCAGGCCGCGUACACACCAUCGCAUACAUCAAACUCCCAACUGCAUUAGCAUAUGGGACUUUUGCCAUAUAUUCUCUUUCUUCUUCAGUUUUCGGAGAUAAUUGAGCACUAAGUUUCAAAUGAGAAGCAAGUGGGGUACUUACAUGUUUUGUGUUUUCAUUUACACCAAAACAUUGUAAUACCUUUUUCAGAUAUUGCUUCUGAUUCAAACAAAGCUUGCCUCUCUGUCUCUCUCUACUUAUCUCCAUGCCGAGAAUCUUCUUGGCUUCACCUAGAUUUUUCAUCUCGAACUCUUGAUUCAACUGAGCCUUCAGCUUAUCUAUCUCUUUUUGGCUCUUCGAAGCGAUUAACAUAUCAUCAACAUACAAGAGUAGAUAAAUGAAAGAUCCGUCAUGCAGCUUCUGCAAAUACACACAAUUGUCAUAUUUGCUUCUUGUGUACUUCUGCCUUCUCAUAAAGCUAUCAAAUCGCUUGUACCACUGCCUCGGGGAUUGCUUCAAUCCAUAUAGCGAUUUGUUCAGCUUACAAAUCCAAUUUCUACCACCAGCAUCUGUGUAUCCUUCGGGCUGAGUCAUAUAGAUCUCCUCUUAUAACUCACCAUGCAAGAAAGCCGUCUUAACAUCAAGUUGAGCUAGUUCCAAAUUCAACUAUGCUACCAAGGCCAACAAAAUUCUAAUGGAGGAAUGCUUCACAACAGGGGAAAAUACAUCAUUGUAGCCAAUUCCCUCCUUCUGAGCGUAGCCUUUAGCUACCAAUCUUGCUUUGUAGCGAAUAUCCUUCUUGCUAGGAGAUCCAUCUUUCUUUGCGAAUACCCACUUGCAUCCGAUUGCCCUUUUACCUUUCGAUAAUUGCGCCAAUUCCCAAGUAUUGUUCUUCAGGAGAGACUGCAUUUCUUCAUCCAUGGCGCUUUUCCAUUUAUCACUUUCUAAGCUUUGCAUUGCUUCUUGAUAAGUGAUAGGAAUAUCAUCAACAACGGGAAGGGCGUAGGCCACCAUAUCAGUAAAUUGAGCAGGUUUACGAAUUUCUCUCCGUGGCCUUGCAACUGCAACUGGUUCUGGUGUACUUAGUGGUUCUUGGGUCAGAACCUCUUCAACCUCUAAUUCCUCCAUUGUGGUUAGAGCAUUAGACUUAUUAACUGGGCAAAUCCCCAUCUGCUCAAACUUCACCUGUUUUGGAGUACACUCCACCUGCUGUGGAGUAUUGCUCGUCUGAAUAUCUUUAUCUGCUACCUUUUUCAAUGUGGCAGAUUCAUCAAAGGUAACAUCUCUGCUACAGAUCAUUUUCUUUGUGCUUAAGCACCAAAGACAAAAUCUCUUCACUCCAGAAGUGAUUCCCAUAAAGAGAGCUUUCUUUGCCCUCGGAUCUAACUUUGACUCCUUCACAUGGUAAUAUGCAGUGGUUCCAAACACAUGUAAGGAAUCAUAAUCUGUAGCCGGUUUUCCAGACCAUACCUCUAUAGGAGUUUUUCUUUCUAAUGCAGAUGAUGGAAAACGAUUAACAAGAUGGCCAGCGUAUGUCACAGCCUCAGCCCAAAAUUGCUUGCCCAACCCAGCAUUGGACAACAUACAUCGAACUUUCUCCAGCAAUGUUCGAUUCAUACGCUUUGCCAAUCCAUUCUGCUGUGGUGUAUCCCUAACUGUGAAGUGUCGAACAAUACCAUACUCUUGGCACACAUCGAAGAACAGAUCACUUUUAUAUUCCCCUCCAUUGUCCGUCCUAAGCCGCUUGAUUUUCUUGCCAGUCUGGUUUUCGAUCAUAGUUUUCCAUUUAAGAAAAACUCUAAGCACUUCAUCCUUAGUUCUCAUUGUAUACACCCAAACUAUUCUGGAAAAGUCAUCAACAAAAGUAACAAAGUAGUGUUUUCCUCCCAAUGAAGGUGUCUUGGAAGGCCCCCACACAUCUGAGUGAACAUAUUCCAAAAUACCUUUUGUAUUAUGGAUAGCAGUACCGAAUUUCACUCUCUUUUGCUUUCCCAGAACACAAUGCUCGCAAAAUUUUAAUUUGCAAGCCUUUGUACCUUUCAACAAUCCUUGCUUUGCCAGAAUUUGCAAGGAUUUUUCGCUGGCAUGUCCCAACUUCAUAUGCCACAACUGUAUUGAGUCCAAUUCUUUGUUGCCGGAAGCUGCAGCGACUGCUCCAAUAACUGUACUACCUUGGUAGUAAUACAAGUUAUUUUUUCUGAUGCCCUUCAAUAUCACAAGUGCGCCAGCUGUCACUUUCAAAACCCCAUCUCUCAUAGUAACAACUGAACCAUUGGAUUCCAGGGCUCCCAAUGAGAUGAGAUUUUUCUUCAAACUGGGCACGUACCGAACAUCAGUCAGAACUCUGGUUGAUCCAUCUUUAUUCUUUAAUUGGAUUGAACCUAUCCCAACAGUUUUACAGGCAUUGUCAUUGCCCAUAUAAACAACUCCUCCAUUUAGUUCUACUAAAUCAGAGAACCACUCCCGGUUAGGGGACAUAUGAUAGGUACAACCCGAAUCCAAUAUCCACUCAUCUGAAUGGAACGACGAUGAUGAUGCAACCAGUGAUAGUUCAGAGUCACUGGUAUCAUGCUUUGCAACACAAGUAUCUACAGCAGCUUUUCUCUUAUUCUUCAGCUUUGGACAAUUUUUCUUCCAGUGGCCUUUCUCAUGACAAAAAGCACAUUCAUCUUUCCCGAGUCUGGACUUUGACUUUGAUCUCCCCUUUUGAGUUUUCUUCCGAGUGUAUGAACGACCUCAGACUACUAAAGCUUCUGUAUCUCUGAUUGAGUUUUUCUGUUUGUCCUUCUUUCUCUGUUCAUAACUGUAUAAGGCCGCACAGACUUCGCUCAGAGAUAUAUCACUCCUGCCAUGAAGUAGAGUAGUUUCUAGGAACUCAAACUCCUCAGGAAGUGACCCCAACAGCAUCAAAGCCAAAUCUUCAUCUUUGAAUGUCUCAUCCAUAUUCAGCAAAUCAGUGACUAACUGAUUAAAUUUGGUGAUGUGAUCAUUCAUUGUGGUACUUGGGACGUAUGUGAAGCGAAACAGUCUUUUCUUCAAGUGGAGCUUAUUUUGACUGUUUUUCUUCAAAAAAUUUUCUUCAAGUGCCACCCACAACUUAUUUGCAGAAGUCUCCUUUGAAAAAGCAUACCUCUGCUCUCGAGAAAUGCAUGAUCGAAUUGUGCCACAUGCCAACCAAUUGAUCGCCUUCCAAUCUUUCUCCUGUACAUCAUCUGGUUUCUCUUCAUCAAUGGCAAUGUCUAGACCCUGCUGAAAAAGGGCAUCUAGAACCUCACUUUGCCACAUACCAAAAUGGCCCGUGCCAUCAAAGAUCUCCACGGCCAGUCUUGCAUUUGCAAUUGUCGGUCUUGUCCACAUGGACGAUGUUGAAGCUCCUACACCGACCGUUUUCUCCAUAAUCUUUCAAUAUACCUAAGGAAAUCUUUUCUGAUGUGGAAGAUCAGUUUAAACUGCAACCACAGAGCAUAUUACGAUUAACCUUCGGCUCUUGAUACCACUUGUAAUUCCAAUAGGGUCGGAAGCGUGUAAAUUAUUGUACUAAAAAAUCACACAAAGUUCAAUUCCCAGGGAAGAGAGGUGGAUCACAAGGAUCUCUUAAAUACCAAGUCUUUCCUUAGUCAGAAUAUUCCUUCUAACGUAAUUUAAUAGCACAAUUAAAUACUACUAUUAUACCCUCAAAUAUUGAAAGAAAAAUAGGACAAAAAGAACACAAGAGUUUUAACGAGGUUCGGUAAAUUAUACCUACGUCCUCGGGCUACUAAAAUCAGAUGAUAACUUUACUAUCUCCAAAAUAUUACAAACAAAUAGAAUUCCUUAAGAAUUCUCAAAUGGGAGAAGAGAGAAAACUAAGAGAGAAAGAUU